ACGCUGGCGGCAUGCUUUACACAUGCAAGUCGGACGGCAGCACAGAGAAGCUUGCUUCUUGGGUGGCGAGUGGCGAACGGGUGAGUAACAUAUCGGAACGUACCGAGCAGUGGGGGAUAACUAAUCGAAAGAUUAGCUAAUACCGCAUAUAUUCUGAGGAAGAAAGCAGGGGACCAUUUGGCCUUGCGCUGUUUGAGCGGCCGAUAUCUGAUUGGCUAGUUGGUGGGGUAAAGGCCUACCAAGGCGACGAUCAGUAGCGGGUCUGAGAGGAUGAUCCGCCACACUGGGACUGAGACACGGCCCAGACUCCUACGGGAGGCAGCAGUGGGGAAUUUUGGACAAUGGGCGCAAGCCUGAUCCAGCCAUGCCGCGUGUCUGAAGAAGGCCUUCGGGUUGUAAAGGACUUUUGUCAGGGAAGAAAAAGGCGGGGUUAAUACCCCUGUCUGAUGACGGUACCUGAAGAAUAAGCACCGGCUAACUACGUGCCAGCAGCCGCGGUAAUACGUAGGGUGCGAGCGUUAAUCGGAAUUACUGGGCGUAAAGCGGGCGCAGACGGUUACUUAAGCAGGAUGUGAAAUCCCCGGGCUCAACCUGGGAACUGCGUUCUGAACUGGGUGACUAGAGUGUGUCAGAGGGAGGUAGAAUUCCACGUGUAGCAGUGAAAUGCGUAGAGAUGUGGAGGAAUACCGAUGGCGAAGGCAGCCUCCUGGGAUAACACUGACGUUCAUGCCCGAAAGCGUGGGUAGCAAACAGGAUUAGAUACCCUGGUAGUCCACGCCCUAAACGAUGUCAAUUAGCUGUUGGGCAGCAUGACUGCUUAGUAGCGAAGCUAACGCGUGAAAUCGACCGCCUGGGGAGUACGGUCGCAAGAUUAAAACUCAAAGGAAUUGACGGGGACCCGCACAAGCGGUGG
rnacentral:rRNA from 1 species